AACGGGGGAGGCGGACGUUAUUCAUCUUUACUGGGCGUAAAGGGUGUGUAGGUUGUAAUAUAAGUAAUAAUUGAAAAAUUAGUUAUUAAAUAAUAAUUAUUAAAACUGUAUUACUUGAGUUAUUUAGGAGAUUAUGGUACUCUUAAUGGAGAGGUUGAAUUCGGAGAUAUUAGGGGAACUAACAAAGGUGAAAACAAUAAUCUAUAAAUAAACUGACAUUGAGACACUAAAGCUUGGGGUUCAAAUAGG
rnacentral:rRNA from 1 species